AAAGUUCAAUUUCGUGCAGCGAGAAAAGAUAAACACGAAUGAUUAACGAAUGCAUCUGUCUUCAAAUUGGAGAAAUUAAUUUAUAUAAACUCCAACGAAUCUGUUCAAUUGAUUCUGCAUAAAUGAACGAACAAAUUACACGCCAUGUCUAGUACUUCCGGCACUUUUUGUUAGUGCUUUAGUGAUGACAUGAGUAACAAUUCCAAUGGGGCAGAAGAGAAGGCAAAGAGAAACAGAAUGUCGAGUCUCAAUUUCAUUUUCCAAUCCAUCAUGAAACACUUGCCUGAGUAAAUCACAAAGAUAUAAGUGUUAAAGGUGGAAUAUAGAGGGAAUGGGAAGGAAAUAGGGGGGAGAAUGAUACCUCGCAGCAAAUAGAUCAACAGCUAACAAGUGAAUCCAAGCUGAAGCUAAUGUCAUCUCACUGGAGAACAUCUUAGCAAUACCAGAUAACUGAGUACAAUUAAAUCAAAACUUUUAAUUACCUUUUUCACAAUGACUACACAUUGCUCAGAAAUUCAAGAAAAUAACAGAUAUUUAUGUUUCUGUUCACACCUCUGGUAACCAAUAUUUACUUGCAAACAUUAGUUGUAUUGUGUCAGGUGUCCAGGAGAGGUAUAGUAGAUACGCAUACAGAAGUCCAAGCACAACAUACGGUAUGCUACUUUCCAUAGACUUUCUAGUCUGCAUUAUGCACAAUCAAGUCAAUCAUGUGCAUAACUUGAAACAGGCAUGGCCGGAUUGCUUUCCUAGCCUUCAGUUGAUGUUUACAGUCUAGCAUAAUUUGUCCAUCAGAAAUCUUGACUUGAAAAUACACCGACUAAAAUGCAAUAAUUGAACCCUUUACAUAGAACUAAAAUGAAAUAACAUAACAUAGCAAAACCAAGAUUCAAAAAGAAAGAAUAUGAUCGUAAAUAGAACAAUGUCUGAUAAUCAUAUUCUUCACAAAUUUUUGAAAUAAUACAUGAAGAGGUUGACUAUUCAUAUCUCAUAAGUAUUAAUUUAAACCACUACCAAAAUAUAGAGUGAUUAAGUUUGAUUUCUUAAAAAAGUAGAGGAUACCAGUUCUGCUUUAGGAGCUACGACCAUGAGAGUGUAAAAUGGAAGAACAGCUGCAGUUCCUAAAGUAAAAACAUUGCUUGCAAUUUGAGAAUUUGUCAACCAUGAUGCAUAUACUCCGGAGCAUUUCUGACACAAAGUGAAUCUUGCAAGUUUUGGUCGAAUAGUAAUUCUUGAACCUCCCAGAAAACUCCAGUUACUAAGUAAGUCAGCUUCCACUCUUGUGAGUUGUUGGCCAAAAAGUUCAGUGCUGUUGCUUUUAAGAGAGAACGAGAAUUUUGGACCAACCUUCUCAAUUUGCCGCGAUCCUAUAUUCCGCCCUGGGUAGUAAAUCUAUAAGAAAUGAAAUUUAAACCUUAAGAAAAGCCUUCAAGCUCAUAAAUACAAACUUUAUUCCCUUUUUUUUGGUCCAUUCUUGUGGUAAUCCAAACCAAAAGGUAAAUUCAGUGCAAUAAAGCUACUUUUAGAGGUGAAGACAGCAAAAUUCUAUAAAUCUUUUUCCCAUCUAGCAUGUAGAUGAGAUACAUAUGAUCCAUAAUGAAUCAUAAUAUGUACUCUAUCACCAAUAUGGCAUCAUGAACAUUAGUAUGCCCAGCUCACGUGCACCAGGGAAAGAAAGCAAGACUAUACACAAUGCGCUGCCAUAAAAAACAGAGGGAUAACAGUUCAUGUCUUAUGAUAUAUAAAAGACCAAAAAGAAACAGAAGGGAAAAAAAAUUAUACUUUUGGGGAAGGGAAAAAUAGGAAAGAAAACGAUAGAUCGUGUAGGAAAAUGCAUGCACUAAAUCAGCGAAAUCACCAGACACUGAUGUAAAUCUGCUGCAGAGGACCCCAAAACUUGAUUUCCUUAUCAAAUGCAUAUUCCAGGCAGCUGAUGAUAUAUAAAUACAUGGAUGUUACUGAAUUACAAAUCUAAAACAUGGGCAAUAUAUCGAAUAAUGGUAACCCCAAAAUAUCAAUCCAGGAGGUAACAAAUGGGGGAAAAAAGCAAUAUUUGAUUUGCAGAAGACCAACUGACUACUUACUUCAAAGAAAUUCAAUUACCAUCUCCAAUCCAAAAGAAAAGAAAUUCAUCCAAAAGCAGCUUAUCUAACCCAUACCUUGAACGGGAUUUGAGGGAGGCACAAGCAAGAAGAGAAAGCCAUAUCUGGUGCAAAAUAGAGAUACCCAACAAUAAUGGACUCUUCAUUCGUUUUGCACUAGUAAUUAAAGUAAAACGAAAGUACCAAAAUCGAUGAGGUGGGUAUAUCCCACUAUGAAGGAAAUGGGCACGGCAACGCAAAGCUUAGCAAAGAAAGUAAAGAACAAAAGAAAGAAAGCCCCACAUUGCGCACUCAAACCGACUACACAAACAGUGAGACUAGCCUAAUGAAUAGACUAAUGACAGAGUAGUAAACAACAUUGAUGUUAGCCAAAAAAAAU
rnacentral:misc_RNA from 1 species